rnacentral:tRNA from 1 species
GCCUUCGUGGCGGAAUUGGUAGACGCGACAGACUCAAAAUCUGUUGUUCGUAAGGAACGUGGGGGUUCAAGUCCCUCCGGGGGCACCA